rnacentral:rRNA from 1 species
UACGUAGGGUGCAAGCGUUAAUCGGAAUUACUGGGCGUAAAGCGUGCGCAGGCGGUUUUGUAAGUCUGUCGUGAAAGCCCCGGGCUCAACCUGGGAAUUGCGAUGGAGACUGCAAGGCUUGAAUCUGGCAGAGGGGGGGUAGAAUUCCACGUGUAGCAGUGAAAUGCGUAGAGAUGUGGAGGAACACCGAUGGCGAAGGCAGCCCCCUGGGUCAAGAUUGACGCUCAUGCACGAAAGCGUGGGAGCAAACAGG